rnacentral:lncRNA from 1 species
AUUGGAUGAAUUAUCGGAGGAGGAUCGUUUAACUGUAGCAAGAGCGCGAAAAAUUGAGCGUUUCUUAUCACAACCGUUCUUUGUAGCAGAAGUUUUUACUGGUUCUGCAGGAAAAUAUGUUGGUCUUGCAGAAACAAUUAGGGGAUUUCAACUAAUCCUUACUGGAGAAUUAGAUGGCCUACCCGAGCAGGCUUUUUAUUUGGUGGGUAACAUCGAUGAAGCUAGCACGAAAGCUAUAACCUUAGAAGAGGAGAACAAAUCGAAGAAAUGAAAUUAAAUCUUUAUGUACUGACUCCUAAGCGAAUUAUUUGGGAUUGUGAAGUGAAAGAAAUCAUUUUAUCCACUAAUAGUGGUCAAAUUGGGGUAUUACCAAACCAUGCCCCCAUUAACACAGCAGUAGAUAUGGGUCCUUUGAGAAUACGCCUCCUCAACGACCUAUGGUUAACGGCGGUUCUGUGGAGCGGUUUUGCGAGAAUAGUUAAUAAUGAGAUCAUUAUUUUAGGAAAUGAUGCGGAACUGGGUAGUGAUAUUGAUCCGGAAGAAGCUCAACAGGCACUUAAAAUAGCCGAAGAUAACUUGAGUAAAGCUGAGGGUACGAAAGAAUUGGUUGAAGCGAAACUAGCUCUCAGACGAGCUAGGAUACGAAUUGAGGCUGUCAAUUGGAUUCCCCCAUCCAAUUGAAGACAAUCCAAUGGUUUAUAGUUGAUACAAAGAUAAAGGGAAGAGGGGUAGAAAAAGUUAUUAGAUAGCGAAGCGAAAUAAGCCCAAUGCUAUCUAGUAAUUUUUCUACCUACCUACCUACUAUUGGAUUUGAACCAAUGACUCCCGCCGUAUGAAAGCAAUACUCUAACCACUGAGUUAAGUAGGCAAUUUAUGAUCACAAAGGAAGACCCAUUACUUCGAUCGAUUAUAUAUCGAAUCCCUUUUCUAAGCAAUAACGCUUCCUUAUUGGUAUGUUAUAUACUAAACAGAUACAUAUUUAAAGAGAUACCCUCUGGCAUUAGAGAAUAUUCAUCUUGACAAUAAAUUAUCUAUAUGUUAAGAUAUCUCUGAUAAGGGCUAUAGCUCAGUUCGGUAGAGCAACUCGUUUACACGUGCGCCAAUGCUUUUCAAAGGAGCUUAUUAUGCAAUGAAUAUAAUGGAUCUUAUUGCAAAAUCAAUGUCUUACUUCAUAGAUUCGACAGAAUAGGAGAACAGUAGCCUGACAAAGAGUCAGUUCAGUCCGAUUCAGGUCCCCAUUCUGGUGCCUAAUCAAAUCGAACCCUUAUGGAUUUGCUAGUUGAUAAGGUAAAUAUCCAGCCCACUAAAUGCUAGGCGUAAUGAGGAUAAGGGCCUCCAAAAAACUUCUUUUCGUUCUAUGAACUUUAAGGUGUAUGAAGUCUCAUAGUUAACUCUUGCAGUGGAACGAUAGAGACUCCAUUUCACUUAGGUUGAUUUAAUUUAGGCCGGAGGCAGACCUAAGUCAAGGUAAUCCUCCUUUGAAACACUUUGGUAUUGCUCCUAGAUAGACCAUAAUACAAAUAAUCAAUCAGAGCACAGGGAGCCAUCUCAUUAUCUUUCCGUAAAGAAAAACUAUGGUGGACUAACUGAUCUUUAAAUCAGUUGAUGAAAGAGCCCAAUGCAAAAAAAUGCAUGUUGGGUCUUUGAAACAGUUCGAAUCAUUUCGAUAAUAAUCUGUUUGAUCUGUUUUACCGAGAAGGUCUACGGUUCGAAUCCGUAUAGCCCUAAUAUGUCCUAUUUUUGGAUUUUAGUAUAGAUAUCCUAUGUUUUCCUUAGUAUAGCUUUUAUUUUCACAUUAGUACUUGUUUAUAGACUGGGCGGGCGCCUGCGACAUAGAAUAGGCAUUGAGGGAAUGCUAUACGCUUGGUGGGUUCUCCUCCAAGCAGAAUGAAGGACGCCAUGGACGCAGCUAUUCCGAGGCAUAUUGUAUAUAUAUCCAGUGUCACCGUUUGCAUUGUAUCAAAAAUAGCCAUUCCUGAGAUUAGCCAUCCGCCUGGGGAGUUUAUAAACAAAAAAUAUGACUAAUUCCAUCUUCUAUACUGAGAUAUACCAUGAGACCUGUAAUAUGAUUCGUGAUCUCGCAACGAAUCUCUUGACCUAAAAAAAGUGUCCUUUCUCAAUACAUAACAUUGUAUAAGUCAACCCAAGUCGCUUCUUCAUCUCCGGGAAUCUGGUAAGGUACUUUUGGAACACCAAUGGGCAUAUUAGAUUAAUAUUAUUAAAUUUAAGUAAGUAAGAAAACUAUACUUUAAUAUGGAAACGUAAGAAUGGAAGAGAAAGAAAGAAUCUCCGAUUUAUUGUCUUCAUUUUUAUUCUUAUUCUAUAUGAAUACUAUAUAUUCUAUUAAUACGUAGAUUGAAAUAAUACAUAGAUUGAAAGGUUAUACAUAUAAAGAAGAUAACACAGAUUGAAUAAAGAAAAAAGGAAUCGGUGAUUCGAAUCAUAACCAAAGAGGGGUAGGGAUCUAUUCUUGGUUUUUUCCAAAUCGGCCAAGUUACCC